rnacentral:rRNA from 1 species
UACGUAGGGGGCAAGCGUUGUCCGGAUUUAUUGGGCGUAAAGGGCUCGCAGGUGGCUCGAGCAAGUCGUGCGUGAAAUCUCCCGGCUCAACUGGGAGCGGUCGUGCGAUACUGCUCAGCUCGAGGUCGGUAGGGGGAAGUGGAAUUCCGGGUGUAGUGGUGGAAUGCGUAGAUAUCUGGAAGAACAUCGGUGGCGAAGGCGCUCUACUGGACCACAACUGACACUCAGGGACGAAAGCUAGGGGAGCGAAUGGG